rnacentral:lncRNA from 1 species
GUGUAAAUAUGGCUGUGAAAUGUGUCACUGGGAGGGGUAGUGAGUUCCCCUUGACCUUGUCCUUAUAAAAAGGGGAAAUUAGGACACAGAGACAAAAACACACAGAGGGAAGAUGAUGUGAAGACACAGGGAGAACACCACGUGAACAUGGAGGAUUGGAGUAAUGCAUCCACAAGCCAAGGAAUGCCUGAAGCUACCAGAAGCCAAGAGAGAAGCAUGGAGUAAAUCGUUCUCUAGCAUCUUUAGAGGAAGGUUAGCCCUGCAAACACUAGAUUUCAGACUUUCAGACUCCAGAACGGAACAUGAGGCAGGAGGCGGGAAGGUGAAGGAAGAAAGAAGAAACAGAUCACACUGGUCCCCGCCCUGGUCACCAAGGCACACGUAAGCCUGCUCUGAGGGAACGAGAGAAGCUUUAAAUUAUAUGUCAUCUUGAAGUUUGAAAAAGGACAGAAUGAGGCUUUUGAAUGCCUGAAAGGGACUCUACAUUGUCAAAAAGGAGUAAAAGAGAUUGGACAGCUAUGGAACCUGCCCAAGAUGUCAUCGAGAGGCAAAGAAGGGAAAUGAGAUAAAGCAUGAAGGAAAUGGUGAUUAUGAUGUUUACCCAAAUUUCAGAACCACUGGUUUUAUCGAAUCCUCAUUUUGCAAAUGUGGAAACUCAGGUUCAAACACAGGAAGUGACUGG